rnacentral:lncRNA from 1 species
CCGAAAUAGAGUCUUAUACAAAUAAAUAUUGAUAGGAGACUAAAGUAAUCAAUUUGCUGUAAGUACAUAUGUCUAAUAUGCCACAAUUCAGGUAUCUAACCACCUGUAGUUGAAAAAAAAUGUAUAAUAUUGAGAUAUGUGGUGCACCACAUCAGUCAGAUUGAAUGUAAUGGUACAAAUUUCCCUCCGUUGAAACCACACUCCCCAAUGCAAGCUUGUGACAACAGACACAUUUCU